UUUGUGUGUCAUGAUACUUUGGCUAUCGUGUUGUAGCUCAUCGUUUAUUUGUUCGAGUAGGUUAAGCUUUGAUCAGCUGUCUUGGCAGCUAAUUGUGUACUUGGAUUGAUGUAUUAUAUACAUAGCUAAUCAUUGAUGCAAUGUAGGGGCCUUGCCCCCAUCUUUAGCAUUAUUCUAUUGAGGUUGUAGGCUUUGGCCCUUUUAGGUA
rnacentral:lncRNA from 1 species